GAGCGGGGGUAGCAAUACCCUAGCGGCGGACGGGUGAGGAAUGCAUCGGAACGUGCCCAGUCAUGGGGGAUAACACAGGGAAACUUGUGCUAAUACCGCAUACGCCCUGAGGGGGAAAGUGGGGGACCGCAAGGCCUCACGUGAUUGGAGCGGCCGAUGCCCGAUUAGCUUGUUGGUGAGGUAAAGGCUCACCAAGGCGACGAUCGGUAGCUGGUCUUAGAGGACGAUCAGCCACACUGGAACUGAGACACGGUCCAGACUCCUACGGGAGGCAGCAGUGGGGAAUAUUGGACAAUGGGGGCAACCCUGAUCCAGCCAUGCCGCGUGAGUGAAGAAGGCCUUCGGGUUGUAAAGCUCUUUGAGCGGGGAGGAAGGUUCGAUGGUUAAUAACCAUCGGAAUUGACGUUACCUGCAGAACAAGCACCGGCUAACUCUGUGCCAGCAGCCGCGGUAAUACAGAGGGUGCGAGCGUUAAUCGGAAUUACUGGGCGUAAAGCGUGCGUAGGCGGUUUGAUAAGCUGGAUGUGAAAUCCCCGGGCUUAACCUGGGAACUGCAUUCAGGACUGUUUGACUAGAGUCUGGGAGAGGGUGGUGGAAUUUCCUGUGUAGCGGUGAAAUGCGUAGAUAUAGGAAGGAACAUCAGUGGCGAAGGCGACUGCCUGGCCCAAGACUGACGCUGAGGCACGAAAGCGUGGGUAGC
rnacentral:rRNA from 1 species